rnacentral:rRNA from 1 species
GCCAGCAGCCAUAUCACCCUACAACUCACACCUGGCAACCUACUGAAGCUCAGCAGGUGUGAGCCUGGUCAGUACCAGGGGAGACCUCCUGGGAAAAACUAAGGUUGCUGCUGGAA